rnacentral:rRNA from 1 species
AUGCGAGCGCAGGUUGCAGCGGCCGAGGUGGAGAUCGAAGAGAUGUCUUCAAUGGUAGUAGCUGUGGGCGGCGAGAUCAAGAACUAUGGGGAUGUAGGGGCUGACGUCGGAGAUUGUGUCAGCAAGAGAUAUUGGUGCGGCGAGGAUGGGUGCAGGGUAGUUUUGUGGAGCUAUGGUGAGGGCCGAGAGAGAAGCGGCCGCGGCGUUGGCAGCCUUGGCGAUGAGUGCGGCCCGGCGCUCAAAGUAGCCGGGCGGCGGCGGCGGCGGCGGCGUUGGCGGAGCCAUACCCUAAACCCUGGGACCGGUAUCUGA